CAAUUGACCGAGGAGGAAAUGAAGAAGACGCUGGAACAUUUGUCAUUUGAUAAAAUGAAAAGUUAUGAAAAAAUGACCAACGGCUUGAAGAAACAGCUACCAAAGACCACUACGGAUUUUCAAUUUAUGCGUCGUGGCAUUGUCGGUUCCUUUAAGGAUGAAUUAACUCCCGAAUUAC